CUUGAAAUCAAAAUUUGUCGCAAAGAAAGAAGACGAAGUAUUUUCAAUCUUUCUUGUUUCUUUAUUCUCAAUUGAGAAAAACUGCCGUGGACAUUGACCUGCGCAAUAUAGUUAACUGUGCAGUAUUAAGAUCGACGAUCGAAAAAACCAACCUCGAACUGAAUCAUAACCAGAAACCCGUCUCUGUUUAAGCAUCGAUCAAUGUCCCUCUUAAACCAACUCUUCAACAGAGGCGUUUUUGGUUCUAAAUGCAAAACAUGCUUGAACUUGGCAAUCUCGCGCAUUAAAUUGCUGCAAAAUAAGAGAGAUUUUCAGCUUAAACAUAUGCGCAAGGAGAUUGCGCAAUUUCUUCAGGCUAGACAAGAAGCAAUGGCUCGAAUUCGAGUGGAACAUGUAACAAGGGAAAAGAAUAUAUGGGCUGCAUAUGAGAUAUUGGAGCUGUUCUUCUAGUUUGCACUUGCGCGUGUUCCCAUUCUUGAAAGUCAGUGGUAAGUUUAUUUACUGCAAGGAGUUUUUUUUCCUUGAUUUGAGAUGAGUUGGGACAUCAAAUUUUGUUCCAAAUGGGAGAACCUUAAUUGAAAAUUUCUAAAAACAAAUGGCCGAAAGGAUGAGUCUUUCUCUCUGUUCUGAUUGUCGAGUACAAUGAUCAAGAUCUAGAUCCAGAGCAGCGUUUUUAGGAUCUUGAUGCUGAACGCACCUUCCUAUAAUUAUUUGAUUGUUGGUCCUUGGGGUGUUUAUGCACACGUCAUAUAAUUUGUUAUGCGAGCCUGUUGGGAAUUUUGUUUAAGCUACAGGAUAAAUAUGGUGAUCAUCACCUUAGCCUUGCUAUGACGGAGUAAAUUCAAUUUGAUCCAGAUGUCAAGUAUAUGGAGAUAUUUCAUGGCUGUUUGGGUUAAUUGCCUGUUAUUUGGCUGAUUAGUUAGUGCACCAGCCAUUCACAUGCUACCCUCCAUUUCUGAUGCUGUUUUUCCUGCAUGUUUCCUGUGCCAAUCCCAUGUGCUGGUACUGGGUUGGGUUGUCAAAUAUAGCAGUAAUGUGGAUCUAAGGUAGUAUAUUUUACCAACUCAACGCUACAAACUUUUAAUCUUUGCCAAUUGGGAUCGGAUUUGAAUCAUUUACGUUUAGCCUUGUUUUCCUAGGAUGACGUCAUUGUCUUCAUGAUGCUUAUUAAAAUUAGAGAUGAUAUCAUGCAUUCUAUUCUUAAGCUAUGUAGACAAUUCUGUACUAUGUUAGAUAACAUGAUUUGACUGAUGAUUCUGAAUCCGCAUCAUCAAUUAUAUGAAAGCGACAAAGUGGAUUCAGAAUAUCUGUUUUUGUAAGCCUUGUACAGGGUAUAUGAGCACCGCACCCAACUAGAAAGAUGUGCUUUCUCAUCUUUGGAGGAAGACUAUUAAGACUAUUGGGGUGUGCAUCCACAACUUUUUUUGCCAGAAAUAAUGUCUGAUUAGCUCAGAUGUAGAGUUCUUCAAUUGAAACAUGGCUUCAUAGGCUUGUUAAUGUCUAAACAUGCAAAAAACUUGAUCUUGGCUGAAUAUGCGGCUUGUUUAAAAUUGUUCAUGAAAUAAACAAACUUAGUACAAUCUAAUUUUGGAACAUUUUAAAGUUUAGGUUAGGCCUAACUGCCUACUUCUUGACCUGUCUUGGCUUUUAUUGUUGUCUUUUCUUUUUUCCUUUUUUAAGAAAGCAUUUUUGGUUGUCUGUUGCAUGACUCGGAUAUAAUAUCUGACCCUCUAUGUUAUCUCCAGGGUGGUUCAAAGCAGAUUGUGGCUGAAGCCACACUUCCUCAAGCUCCUACCAAACAGAGCUUUCCUCUAUCUCCACUUUCCAAUGGGGUCCAUCAUACCAUAAUAAGGAUAGCAAACAAGGAUCUCAUCAUCUUCAAGCUUCUGGCACUGUGAGCAAUAUGCCCCAGGUCACUUCUAACAAAAUUGAACCAUCAAUCAGGAAUCAUAAUGCCGGACCAUUGACUGAUGGUAAUAGGUAGACAACACCACAAGCAUCUGAUGCUUUUGGGGAGAGCUCGAGCUGCCAUUGCAUAAGCAGAGCGUGCAGCUGGCGAGCUUGUAAAUGUUAAAUUUGGCUUAUUUAGGUUAGGCGAAGGCAAGUCAUAGUUAUUUCAUAAUCGACCUUUGAUUAUAAAAUUAUAUCUCAAGAUCACAUAAUCAAGCAUGCCAAAAAAGAAACCAAAAGAAAAUGUACAUUAUUUCACUAUGUAAAAAAACAAUCUUACAAAAACUGGAAACUACCGAGAGUUUCAUAUUGGUAAUAUUUUUAUACCAUUAUGAUCUUUGCUGAAAUACUAAGAAACCCCGCGAUUGUAUCAA